UACGUAGGUGGCAAGCGUUGUCCGGAAUUAUUGGGCGUAAAGCGCGCGUAGGCGGCGCGGUAAGUCACUUGUGAAAUCUCUGAGCUUAACUCAGAACGGCCAAGUGAUACUGCAGUGCUAGAGUGCAGAAGGGGCAAUCGGAAUUCUUGGUGUAGCGGUGAAAUGCGUAGAUAUCAAGAGGAACACCUGAGGUGAAGACGGGUUGCUGGGCUGACACUGACGCUGAGUGCGCGAAAGCCAGGGGAGCAAACGGG
rnacentral:rRNA from 1 species